rnacentral:rRNA from 1 species
GACGAACGCUGGCGGCGUGCUUAACACAUGCAAGUCGAACGGAAAGGCCCUGCUUUUGUGGGGUGCUCGAGUGGCGAACGGGUGAGUAACACGUGAGUAACCUGCCCUUGACUUUGGGAUAACUUCAGGAAACUGGGGCUAAUACCGGAUAGGAGCUCCUGCUGCAUGGUGGGGGUUGGAAAGUUUCGGCGGUUGGGGAUGGACUCGCGGCUUAUCAGCUUGUUGGUGGGGUAGUGGCUUACCAAGGCUUUGACGGGUAGCCGGCCUGAGAGGGUGACUGGCCACAUUGGGACUGAGAUACGGCCCAGACUCCUACGGGAGGCAGCAGUGAGGAAUAUUGCACAAUGGGCGGAAGCCUGAUGCAGCAACGCAGCGUGCGGGAUGACAGCCUUCGGGUUGUAUACCGCUUUCGCCUGUGACGAAGCGUGAGUGACGGUAAUGGGUAAAGAAGCACCGGCUAACUACGUG